rnacentral:rRNA from 1 species
CCUACGGGUGGCUGCAGUGGGGAAUAUUGCACAAUGGGGGAAACCCUGAUGCAGCGACGCCGCGGGAGUGAAGAAGUAAUUCGUUAUGUAAAGCUCUAUCAGCAGGGAAGAAAAUGACGGUACCUUAGUCAGAAGCCCCGGCUAACUACGUGCCAGAAGCCGCGGUACUACGUAGGGGGCAAGCGUUAUCCGGAUUUCCUGGGUGUAAAGGGAGCGUAGACGGCAGUGCAAGUCUGGAGUGAACGGCGGGGGCUCAACCCCGGGACUGCAGUGGCAACUGGCAUGCUUGAGUGGCUGAGGGGCAAGCGGAAUGCCUAGUGUAGCGGUGAAAUGCGUAGAUAUUAGGAGGAACACCGGUGGCGAAGGCGGCUUGCUGGACGGUAACUGACGUUGAGGCUCGAAAGCGUGGGGAGCAAACAGGAUUAGAUACCCUGGUAGUC